AGUAAUGUAUGGGGAUCUGCCCGAUAGAGGGGGAGUAAUACUGGAAACGGUGGCUAAUACCGCAUAAUGUCUACGGACCAAAGCAGGGGCUCUUCGGACCUUGCACUAUCGGAUGAACCCAUAUGGGAUUAGCUAGUAGGUGGGGUAAAGGCUCACCUAGGCGACGAUCUCUAGCUGGUCUGAGAGGAUGAUCAGCCACACUGGGACUGAGACACGGCCCAG
rnacentral:rRNA from 1 species